CCCAAGAGCAGCAGCAGGUUGAUGUUCAGAAUUGGCAGAGCAGUGACUGCCAGGCUGGCCAAGUCCUCCUUUCUGAUUGGCCUUGUUGGCGGGAGGAGGAGGAAGCAGAUGCAGGCACAGACCUUGGAUAGGAGCGAGCUAACUUCAGCUUGCCCUCCAGUGUUCCUGACUCCAGCCUUGAAUUGUGGUAGUGGGAUGGCUUGUCUGAACCAUGCCUCAACAUGCAGAUUAAAUACUACCAAUAUUUCAUCCACAUGUUAACUGCCCAGAGACGAAGGUUUGGGGCAGUGUACAAAUUUGAUAGAUGAUGAUGAUGAUGAUGAUGAUGAUGAUGAUGAUGAUGUUGAGGGCAGGGUGAUGAACCACUCACUCGCAUGAUUUGGCAACAGUGGGAUGUGUGAGGAAGACACCCACACCCACACACACACCUAUGUUCCUCCUCCUGUGAUUAAGACAGUUGGUUGAGAUUCACUGAACCAGCCCCUAGAUACCUAAGCUCAUAUUGGUGGACAGAGCUUAUUGCUUGAUUGAAACUAGGCAAUCUUUGAGUUCAUGUAGAUAUGUCAGUUGUCUUUAGUUGAAGAUGUUCCAGUUUCCAAUUAAAUAUCGCCCCCCCCCCCAGUUUAACACAGAAUUUUAGGAUGCCUAGAAAUGAAGAGCUUAACAAUUACAGGCAGGAAAUUCUGAGCUGAAGUUUAUUUCAGUUCUGAAGCAAAAUUUCACAGUCUAUAGUGCUGGAUUUGGGUUUUCACUACAGAGUGACAGCAGACCCUUAGUGGUAGUUUCAUCUGGAGCUGUUUGAUUGAAAGAUUAAGGGCUGAACUGCUAAUCUGGAGAGCAAUUCUCAGAGGAGAUGCAAAAUUUGUAUCUAUUAAGGGCAAGGUGCCCCUGAAAUUGCAAUCUGUUGCUUUGUCAGAAGCUUUGCAUCUGGGGAAUACAGCUUUCUAGCUUUUCCACAAUGGGUGUGUGUGUGCAUGUGUGGGUGAAAUCUACAUGAAAGGUACACAAAUAACACACAAGUGAGAUAUAUUAUAGGAAAGACCACUGAGAUAUUAAGGGGGGGGGAACCACACACAGAAGCUCUGUACCGUAGCAAAACUGGAGGAAAGGAAUGUUACUAUGUUCCAGUGAUUAAAGUGAAUGCUAACAAAUUGCAGAUGUACCAGAAUAAUUACACCAUUUCAUAGGUUAGUGAUUUCUAAUUAAAAAAAAAAGUAACUGUACAUGUGAGAAAGAAACAAGCUGUUCUUGGAACAAUUUUCUCACAGGAAACCAACACAUUCAUCAUUGGAAUGGUGCUUCAUCAAGAAAUUGUGAAAUCUCCAGAAGCUGCUAGUAGAACUCCACCAGAGGUACACCUAGGACGACCAGUUGUUCUGCAUGCUCCAGAAGCCUGUUUACAUUUCCUGCCUAGGAGGUGGUGGUAGUGGUAAAGGGACUGCAUCCAUCAUUGGAACCUGGGAACAGGUAUCGUUCUAUGCACAAUGUCAUUUAUUGGAACCCUCUGUGCAAAUUCAAACAGGUUUUCAAAUAGAGGCUGGAUGGCUAUACUGUAUCCCAGGAAUGCUGUAAUAGUUGCCUGCUCUGAACAGGGAAAGGACUAGAAGAUCUCCAAAGUCCCUUCAGUUCUGUGAUUCAGAUACUAGACACUGUGUAAUUGGUUGCAAAGCCACAGGGACAUCAAGAAGGGACCUGGGUGCAGGAUAAGAUCUGAAGGCAGCAAACAUGCUGAAUUUUGGUACGUAUCGGAAUGGCCAGGACCUAGCCAGGAGGCCACCUGGGAGUUCUGUGUACGCUGACAGCCUUGAUUUCCCUGGAGAAAAUAAAGGCGAGUGAAGAAGCUUCAAAGAUCAAGGACAAAACUUGCCAGGCAGCAGCACAGGGCAAGUUUCGAUGAUGAGAAGAGGAGACAGAGACAGCACACUAUGAAACUAUUACCACCUUCUUCUACAAAUCAUCUCCAGGAAACUACAUCACCACUGACUUCCCUGCAGGUAUGUUUAGGUUUCAACCUUCCCAAGUCAGUGGAAGAAAAAGACAGUGACUGGACUAUUGCAACCCAGGGAGGACAAGAUGUAUAGGGGAAGGAAGGGGACACUUGACUCAAGGUUUCCCUUUUCAGCAUCUUGUGUUCAUUGGCUGACUUACCGCGCAAGGUUCCAUCUGCCUUGCAAUGGAAAAUGCAUGCAGUUGCACAAGAGUGCUCUAGUGUAUACAUGGGAAAUUGUGAAAACAUAGUUGUGCAAUUGGCAGUAAUUAUUUUCAGUAGCCAUGAAUCACACAACUGCAUUUGCACAUUUCCCCACAUUUGCAUAAGUGCACUCUGCACAAUUGCACACACGUCCCAUUGCAAGGCAGAUGGAACAUUAUGCAGUAUGUCAGUCACUGUUCUUUUUGCUCAAAAAGAAAGAAAGAGAAGAGUGUGAUAGGUGAAAAGGAAUGACUCAACAAGGUUUCAGCUAGUGAGCCAUCAAAUGGCACCCACCUGCUUGAUAGUUUCUCCUUACUGGGAUUUCUUUUAUUUUUCCAUUUUUUCCUAUGAUUGUAAAGGUGUUUGCAUUGUAGGCAUCUGUCAAGAACAUUGCAUACUUCUGUUACUACAUAGAUUACAAAAUCCUAGCCAUAAUGCCUCUAGCAGCAUCUGACCUGAAGCGUCUGAGGAGAGCAAGGCAGCAAAUAAAUAUCGCAUCCAUCCCAUCCAUGAUUCAGGUGACGGUAAAUCAUUAUUAGCCCUCCAGCUUAAUAUGUAGUUGGCCUUGCUUUGCUGGCAGGCAAUAAAAUUAUCCAUCCCCAUUAAGAAUCCCAGCUUCUACAGCUUUCUCCCCCAAAGGAACAGCUGUGGUUAUUUGAAGAAAUCAUAAAAUGCUUUAGCAAAACAAUAAAGAGGAUUACUGAGUUCCUCAUCAAAAUACCUUGGCUCUAGCCAAGUUAAGAAACCUCUACACUAUGUUCCCAACCUGGUUUCAUUUAGCUCCAGGAUAUGAAAUGUUGGCCUGAUAAAGCAGGACAUACAUAUUUGAUAUUUUAGCUUCAGGUUUGUUCUUUCCUUCUCAGAAGCUAAAUCAUCGGGGUGGAGAGACAUCAGAUGGCAAUAAAUUGGCCUCUUUCCAUGAAGUGUGCAUCAUUAAUGAGGAGCAAGCCCUAACCUCCUAGUUCCAUAGGCCAGUUUGCACAGGGGCUCAUAAAGAAACCCUCCAGCAGCACCUCUGCGGUGGCAAGAAAAAGCUGAGCACGACUGGAAGAAUGACAGCUGCUGGGAGGGGGCUGGUAAUGGGUGCUCUGCAGUAGGGAUGUGCAAACCGGCUGUUUGGUUCGAACCCAGACAGUAUUCGAACCGACCCGACCAGGUCUCAGGUUUGGCUGAACUGGGUUUGGUCCGGUUUGGCCACUGAACCAGGCCAAACCAGUUCACAGGCCGAUUCAGGGGUAUACUUGUAAAGGGGAAUCCAGCAAGGAUUCCCCUUUUCAAGUAAAGCGGGCAUUCCCUAUCCUAAAGGCCAGGGGGUGAGAGGCAAGAGAAUGAGUACUGUGUACCUUAUGAGGCUGCUGUGGAGGUGGUGGAGGUGGUAAAGAGACACUGGAUGUGGUGGGAGCAGCGGCGGGGGGUGGGGGCUCCUCCAAGCCUCCUGUUGGCCUCUUGAAUGAUAGUCCGGCCGACAGCCGGCCUGGGAUGUCAUUUGGGAGGCUGGCGGGGGGCUUGGAGGAGUCCCUGCAGUUACGCCCACCACAUCCGUUGUAUCUCCGCUGCCUCCACAGUGGUCUCUCAUGCUGCUGCAGCAGCCUCCUAAAAAAAAAAAAAAAAGUCCCCAUUCUCUCCCCAAUUUCCUUGCCAGAUUCCCCUUUACAAGUAUACCCCCAAUCCAGCACACAAACUAGUUCUCAGAACUGGGACUGCUCCGGUUCAAACUUGGACUGCCCAAACCGGGCUGGUUCAAUUAGAACUGUGGUUCAAAUUGAGCGGAUUCACACGUCUCGUCUCUACAGGUAGCUGCUGCUACAGUCAUCCAGUGGUUCUUCGUCCACCUGUAGAGGUUUGUUCAUACGCUUCCAUUUGAACCCAUCUUUUCAGCCUGGCUUUUAAUAAUAUUUUGUUGGUUUUAAAUGAUUUUUAAAAUGAUUUUUUAUCUUAAUAUUUUAACUGCUUUUUGUUGUAUUCUAUUCUGUAAUCUUUUGCACUUUGUUUAUUUGGACAUUUGUGCUAAUGGGGAUCCUGCAGUGACUGUGGAGGAGGAGUCAAGAGAAAAAGGGAGGGAAAGCAGAAGGAGAAAAUGGAGUUGUUGCUGAAUAAACCUUUAGUUAAAUCUACUUACGAUUCCCGUAUGUGUAUGAGGGAAGCAGCUAUAAAACACUGUUAUAUGUUUUAUGUGAAAUGAAAAUUUGAUUUAAAGUGCCCUGAGGCAUUCUGGGUUGGGCAGUAUAUAAAUGAAUAAAUAAAUACAUACAGAAAUA